UAUUUGGGAUGAAAAGUUCAUGUUACUCCUUUGUUUCUUUUAAAUUUUCCUUCAUGCUUGACUCUACUUUUUUAUGGCAUUUGUUAAGCGCUUACUGUGCGCCAGGAACCGUAUUAAGCACUGGAGUAGAUACAAGCUGAUCAUGUUGGACACAGUUCAUGUCCCACUUGGGGCUCCCAAUUUUAAUCCCCAUUUUAUAAAUGAGACAAUUAAAACUCAGGGAAAUAAAGUGACUUACCCAAGGUCACACAGGUGACAAGUGGAGGCAGGAUUAGAACCCAGGUCCUUCUGACUCCCAGGCCCAUGCUCUAUCCACUAGAUCCACUGUUUCUCUAACUCUAAGACCAAGAUGACAGUUUGUGGUCCUGUCUGGAGCCAACGGGAUGAAGGGGACCUCGGUCAUGAAAGGUUUAACAUCUCAUAUCCCAACUGAGGCUGGAUGCUGCAGGACAGAAGUAAGAGCAAAGAUUCUCCCAUCAUCUUGUCAUUGUUUGGGCCUGAAGUGCAGGACUACGGAUUGUGGAUGUACCCCAGGGGACAAUGUACAGAGUGAGAUGAUUCCCUGGACCCAGCCAAAUCUUCAAGGUCUAGAGCAACAGAGCACAAAUAGAGGGAAGAGGAUCAGAUCUGCUGCUAAAAACUCUGCUAAUCUGAAUCAUGAAUAAAAC
rnacentral:lncRNA from 1 species